rnacentral:rRNA from 1 species
AUUGAACGCUGGCGGCAGGCCUAACACAUGCAAGUCGAACGAGUGGCGGACGGGGGAGUAAUGUAUGGGAAACUGCCUGAUGGAGGGGGAUACCUACUGGAAACGGUCGCUAAUACCGCAUACCAUCGGAUGUGCCCCGAUGGGAUUAGCUAGUAGGUGGGGUAACGGAGCCCAAAGGCGACGAUCCCUAGCUGGUCUGCGAGGAUGACCAGCCACACUGGAACUGGGACCCGGUCCAGACUCCUACGGUAGGCAGCAGUGGGGAAUAUUGCACAAUGGGCGCAAGCCUGAUGCAGCCAUGCCGCGUGUAUGAAGAAGGCCUUCGGGUUGUAAAGUACUUUCAGCGGGGAGGCGUUACCCGCAGAAGAAGCACCGGCUAACUCCGUGCCAGCCGCCGCGGUAAUAC